rnacentral:rRNA from 1 species
GACGAACGCUGGCGGCGUGCUUAACACAUGCAAGUUGAACGGAAAGGCCCUGCUUUUGUGGGGUGCUCGAGUGGCGAACGGGUGAGUAACACGUGAGUAACCUGCCCUUGACUUCGGGAUAACUUCAGGAAACUGGGGCUAAUACCGGAUAGGAGCUCCUGCUGCAUUGUGGGGGUUGGAAAGUUUCGGCGGUUGGGGAUGGACUCGCGGCUUAUCAGCUUGUUGGUGGGGUAGUGGCUUACCAAGGCUUUGACGGGUAGCCGGCCUGAGAGGGUGAACGGACACGUUGGGACUGAGAUACAGCCAGAACUCCUGCGGGAGGCAGCGGUGGGGAAUAUUGCGGAAUGGGCGGAGGCCAAAUGAAGCAACGACGCGUGCGGAAGAACGGCCUUCGGGUUGUAAACCACUUUAGCAUGUGACAAAGCGUGAGUGACGGUAAUGGGUAGAGAAGCACCGGCUAACUACGUG